rnacentral:rRNA from 1 species
AGUGAACGCUGGCGGUAGGCCUAACACAUGCAAGUCGAACGGCAGCACAGGAGAGCUUGCUCUCUGGGUGGCGAGUGGCGGACGGGUGAGGAAUACAUCGGAAUCUACUUUUUCGUGGGGGAUAACGUAGGGAAACUUACGCUAAUACCGCAUACGACCUACGGGUGAAAGCAGGGGACCUUCGGGCCUUGCGCGAUUGAAUGAGCCGAUGUCGGAUUAGCUAGUUGGCGGGGUAAAGGCCCACCAAGGCGACGAUCCGUAGCUGGUCUGAGAGGAUGAUCAGCCACACUGGAACGGAGACACGGUCCAGGCUCCUACGGGAGGCAGCAGUGGGGAAUAUUGGACAAUGGGCGCAAGGCUGAUCCAGCCAUAUCGCGUGGGUGAAGAAGGGCUUCGGGUUGUAAAGCCCUUUUGUUGGGAAAGAAAUCCAGCUGGCUAAUACCCGGUUGGGAUGACGGUACCCAAAGAAUAAGCACCGGCUAACUUCGUGCCAGCCGCCGCAGUAA